rnacentral:rRNA from 1 species
UACGUAGGGUCCAAGCGUUAAUCGGAAUUACUGGGCGUAAAGCGUGCGCAGGCGGUUCUGAAAGUCAGCUGUGAAAGCCCCGGGCUUAACCUGGGAAUUGCGGUUGAAACUACAGGGCUAGAAUCUGGCAGAGGGGGGUAGAAUUCCACGUGUAGCAGUGAAAUGCGUAGAGAUGUGGAGGAACACCGAUGGCGAAGGCAGCCCCCUGGGCUGAGAUUGACGCUCAGGCACGAAAGCGUGGGGAGCAAACAGG